rnacentral:piRNA from 1 species
GAGUAUGAAUUUGCUCUUUCAGUAAGC